rnacentral:rRNA from 1 species
GACGAACGCUGGCGGCGUGCUUAACACAUGCAAGUCGAACGAAGAGCGAUGGAAGCUUGCUUCUAUCAAUCUUAGUGGCGAACGGGUGAGUAACGCGUAAUCAACCUGCCCUUCAGAGGGGGACAACAGUUGGAAACGACUGCUAAUACCGCAUACGAUCUAAUCUCGGCAUCGAGGAUAGAUGAAAGGUGGCCUCUACAUGUAAGCUAUCACUGAAGGAGGGGAUUGCGUCUGAUUAGCUAGUUGGAGGGGUAACGGCCCACCAAGGCGAUGAUCAGUGGCCGGUCUGAGAGGAUGAACGGCCACAUUGGGACUGAGACACGGCCCAGACUCCUACGGGAGGCAGCAGUGGGGAAUCUUCCGCAAUGGACGAAAGUCUGACGGAGCAACGCCGCGUGAGUGAUGACGGCCGUCGGGUUGUAAAGCUCUGUUAAUCGGGACGAAAGGCCUUCUUGCGAAUAGUGAGAAGGAUUGACGGUACCGGAAGAGAAAGCCACGGCUAACUACGUG